rnacentral:rRNA from 1 species
UUUACGGAGAGUUUGAUCCUGGCUCAGGAUGAACGCUGGCGGCGUGCUUAACACAUGCAAGUCGAACGCACCAUUUCGGUGGUGAGUGGCGCACGGGUGAGUAACGCGUGGGUGACCUAUCCCAAAGUGGGGGAUAACUCAGGGAAACUUGAGCUAAUACCGCAUAUGCUCCAUGGUGUUAGAGGCUGUGGAGUAAAGCAGCAAUGCGCUUUGGGCGGGGCCUGCGUCCGAUUAGCUAGUUGGUGGGGUAAUGGCCUACCAAGGCGAUGAUCGGUAGCUGGUCUGAGAGGACGAUCAGCCACAUUGGCACUGAGACACGGGCCAAACUCCUACGGGAGGCAGCAGUGAGGAAUAUUGGGCAAUGGCCGAAAGGCUGACCCAGCAACGCCGCGUGGAGGACGAAGACCUUCGGGUUGUAAACUCCUUUUCUGGGGAAGAAAGGACGGUACCCCAGGAAUAAGUCACGGCUAACUACGUGCCAGCAGCCGCGGUAAAACGUAGGUGGCAAGCGUUAUCCGGAUUUACUGGGCGUAAAGCGCNNGCAGGUGGUAGCGUAAGUUGGAUGUGAAAUCUCCNNUGGCUCAACUGGGAGGGGUCGUUCAAGACUGCGUUGCUUGAGGUCGAGAGAGGAGUGCGGAAUUCCCGGUGUAGUGGUGGAAUGCGUAGAUAUCGGGAGGAACACCAGUGGCGAAAGCGGCACUCUGGCUCGCACCUGACACUGAGGCGCGAAAGCGUGGGGAGCAAACGGGAUUAGAUACCCCGGUAGUCCACGCCGUAAACGAUGUGAACUGGGUGUUGGUGGUUUGAACUCCAUCAGUGCCGCAGCCAACGCGAUAAGUUCACCGCCUGGGGAGUACGGUCGCAAGGCUAAAACUCAAAGGAAUUGACGGGCCCGCACAAGCAGCGGAGCGUGUGGUUUAAUUCGAUGCAACACGAAGAACCUUACCUGGGCUUGACAUGGUCGUAGUAGUGAACCGAAAGGGGAACGAGCCUUCGGGCAGCGAUCACAGGUGCUGCAUGGCUGUCGUCAGCUCGUGCCGUGAGGUGUUGGGUUAAGUCCCGCAACGAGCGCAACCCUUGUCGCCAGUUACAUGUGUNNCUGGCGAGACUGCCGGUAUCAAGCCGGAGGAAGGUGGGGAUGACGUCAAGUCAGCAUGGCCUUUAUGUCCAGGGCUACACACACGCUACAAUGGUCGGUACAAAGGGUCGCAGAGCCGUGAGGUGAAGCUAAUCCCAUAAAACCGGCCUCAGUUCAGAUUGGAGGCUGCAACUCGCCUCCAUGAAGUCGGAGUUGCUAGUAAUCGCCGGUCAGCNNUAUACGGCGGUGAAUACGUUCCCGGGCCUUGUACACACCGCCCGUCACGUCAUGGGAGCCGGUAACACCUGAAGUCGGUGGGCUAACCGCAAGGAGGCAGCCGCCGAGGGUGGGACUGGUGACUGGGACGAAGUCGUAACAAGGUAGCUGUACCGGAAGGUGCGGCUGGAUCACCUCCUUUCUAGGG